ensembl:miRNA
UUGGCUUGAGUCCCUGAGCAAAGCCACUGGGAAUGCUCCCUGAGGAUGUUAUAUGAGUGCUCAGCUCAUGGGGCUAUGAUGGUCA